AUGCAUGCCCUUAGCAUGAAGUCAGACAAGAGAACCCGCUGAAUUUAAGCAUAUCAAUAAGCGGAGGA
rnacentral:rRNA from 2 species